rnacentral:lncRNA from 1 species
AACGUGCUUUUCGACUUGCGAGUCAGAUGUCCAGCGGGGAUGUUUGUUUCACCGAAACUAGAUUUUGGAUUAAAGUGGAUUUUGAGUUGAACUGGAGUUCGAUGAAAACUACUUCUUUUCCAUUAUUUGUUUCAUAGUUAUGGAAGUGAAAUUCCAUCAGUUCUAUUAUUUGUUUGGUAUGAAGUGUGUAAUAUAAAAUUAUAAUUUAUAUAUAAAUAAUAAAUAUUUUAAUAAAUAAAAAUAUUAUAAUUAUAUUUUUUAUAUAAUUAAAAUUUAAUUUAAAACAACUAAAUUAUUUGUUUAUACAUAAAUUAUAGUAAUACAAUAAUAAAAUUAUAAAAUAAAAAAAAUAUUAAUACUUAAUUAAUUAAUUUUUAUCAUAUUUAAUAUAUUAACUGAAUAAAAAAAUAAUUAGCAACAUAAUUAAAUAUAUUUAAAUAUAACUAGUUUUAUCUAUUAUAUUAUUUUUUUUUUUUUAAUCUCUCUUCACCAUAAUUGACUUCGGCCCACGAUGGAGUGAAGUCAAUUGCGCCGUUUGAGAUUAACUUGAAUUUCAACCGUAACUUUUUUACGGCGAAUCAAACAACGAAAAUGAUCGUUUAGUACGAAAACGACUUUCCUUCCCUCCACUUCCACCCCACGUCCGCCCAAACAAAAAUAUGCCCUCAGUGUCAUUCACAAGAGGAAUCUGCUGUAAACACAUCUUGUCAAAAGGUGGGGUUGGAUGGGGAUGUGGGAUUGAGCCAAAUUCGAUCUAUUAUUAUGCUUAACUAGAAUGUCCUAAACACAUGCAAUAAAUGAAAAGGAAAUUUCAUAAUUGAUUAGAAUAUAUAUAUAUAUAGAGAGAGAGAGAGAGUGUGUGUGUGUGUGUGAGACUGAUAUGUUUCUGAAAGUACGGAGUCGUUUCUAUUUUCGAAUCGUUUUUGAUAUUGGGACUUUCGAAUCGAUGAUCAGCUCUAUUAAACUUGAUCUAGAGUAUUUGAAGUACGUAUGCGAUUUUUAGAUAUCAUUUACCUAGUGAUUGAAAGAGCUUAAAAUUAACGGUUGAAAAUAAAAAUCUUAUAAAAUCUGAUGAUACGACAUUAAAAUUUUAGAUCAAAAAUAUUGAUCUUGUUUUAUAUAGUAUACAAAAUUUUCUAUCAAAAUUUUACGUGAUUUAGAUAUUUCUACAUCAUUAAAAUAAAUUAAUAAUAUUUUAAAU